rnacentral:rRNA from 1 species
GACGAACGCUGGCGGCGUGCUUAACACAUGCAAGUCGAACGCUGAAGACCUGGCUUUUGUUGGGUUGGAUGAGUGGCGAACGGGUGAGUAACACGUGAGUAACCUGCCCUCUUCUUUGGGAUAACGCCCGGAAACGGGUGCUAAUACUGGAUAUUCACUGAUCUUCGCAUGGGGGUUGGUGGAAAGGUUUGUUCUGGUGGGGGAUGGGCUCGCGGCCUAUCAGCUUGUUGGUGGGGUGAUGGCCUACCAAGGCUUUGACGGGUAGCCGGCCUGAGAGGGUGACCGGUCACAUUGGGACUGAGAUACGGCCCAGACGCCUACGGGAGGCAGCAGUGGGGAAUAUUGCACAAUGGGCGAAAGCCUGAUGCAGCGACGCCGCGUGAGGGAUGGAGGCCUUCGGGUUGUAAACCUCUUUCGCUCAUGGUCAAGCCGCAACUGUGGGUUGUGGUGAGGGUAGUGGGUAAAGAAGCGCCGGCUAACUACGUG